CUCUACCGCCGCCCGGCUCGCUGUCCCCGUGCUCCCUCCAGUCCUCGGCCCUCCGCCCCUUCCCUCCCCACCUCGCCUGGCCCUGCAGGCGCCUCAGGCGGUACGGGCUGGGCAAGAUGGCGGCUUUCGGGAUCUUGAGCUAUGAACACCGACCCCUGAAGCGGCUGCGGCUGGGGCCUCCCGAUGUGUACCCUCAAGAUCCCAAACAGAAGGAGGAUGAACUGACGGCUUUGAAUGUAAAACAAGGUUUCAAUAACCAGCCUGCUGUCUCUGGGGAUGAACAUGGCAGUGCCAAGAACGUCAACUUCAAUCCUGCCAAGAUCAGUUCCAACUUCAGCAGCAUCAUCGCAGAGAAGUUAAGGUGUAAUACUCUCUCUGACACUGGUCGCAGGAAGUCCCUAAUGAACCAGAAGGACAACUUCUGGCUGGUGACUGCAAGAUCUCAGAGUGCUAUUAACACUUGGUUCACUGACCUGGCUGGCACCAAACCACUCACACACCUAGCCAAAAAGGUCCCCAUUUUCAGUAAAAAAGAAGAAGUAUUUGGGUACUUGGCCAAAUACACAGUGCCUGUGAUGCGAGCUGCCUGGCUCAUUAAGAUGACCUGUGCCUACUAUGCAGCAAUGUCUGAGACUAAGGUUAAGAAGAAAAAUACUGCUGACCCCUUCACUGAAUGGACUCAAAUCAUCACAAAGUACUUAUGGGAGCAGCUACAGAAGAUGGCUGAAUACUAUCGGCCAGGGCCUGCAGGAAGUGGAGGCUGUGGUUCUACUAUAGGACCUUUGCCCCACGAUGUAGAGAUGGCAAUCAGGCAGUGGGACUACAAUGAGAAGCUCGCCUUGUUCAUGUUUCAGGAUGGAAUGCUGGACAGACAUGAGUUCCUGACUUGGGUGCUUGAGUGUUUUGAGAAAAUACGCCCUGGAGAGGAUGAAUUGCUUAAAUUGCUGCUUCCCCUACUGCUUCGAUACUCAGGGGAAUUUGUUCAGUCCGCCUAUCUGUCCCGCCGUCUUGCCUACUUCUGUACCCGGAGAUUGGCUCUCCAGCUGGACGGUGUGAGCAGCCAUUCAUCUCAUGUCAUAUCUGCUCAGUCAACAAGUUCUCUGCCCACUACCCCAGCACCUCAGCCCCCAACUAGCAGUACACCCUCGACUCCCUUUAGUGACCUGCUUAUGUGCCCUCAGCACCGUCCCCUGGUUUUUGGCCUCAGCUGUAUCCUUCAGACUAUCCUUCUGUGUUGCCCUAGUGCCCUAGUUUGGCACUACUCAUUGACUGAUAGCCGAAUUAAGACUGGCUCACCACUUGACCACCUGCCUAUUGCUCCUUCCAACUUGCCCAUGCCAGAGGGUAACAGUGCCUUUACUCAGCAGGUCCGUGCAAAAUUACGAGAGAUUGAACAACAGAUCAAGGAGCGUGGACAAGCAGUUGAAGUUCGCUGGUCUUUUGAUAAGUGCCAGGAAGCUACUGCAGGUUUCACCAUUGGACGGGUGCUCCAUACUUUAGAAGUGCUGGAUAGCCAUAGUUUUGAGCGCUCUGACUUUAGUAACUCUCUUGACUCCCUUUGUAAUCGAAUCUUUGGAUUGGGGCCUAGUAAGGAUGGUCAUGAGAUUUCCUCUGAUGAUGAUGCUGUGGUAUCAUUAUUGUGUGAAUGGGCUGUAAGCUGCAAGCGCUCAGGUCGGCAUCGUGCUAUGGUAGUAGCCAAACUCCUGGAGAAGAGACAAGCAGAGAUUGAGGCUGAGCGCUGUGGAGAAUCUGAAGCAGCUGAUGAGAAGGGCUCCGUUGCCUCUGGUUCCCUUUCUGCUCCUAGUGCACCCAUUUUCCAGGAUGUCCUCCUGCAGUUUCUGGACACACAGGCUCCCAUGCUGACUGAUCCCCGAAGUGAGAGUGAGAGAGUGGAAUUCUUUAACUUGGUACUGCUGUUCUGUGAACUGAUCCGACAUGAUGUCUUCUCCCAUAAUAUGUACACCUGCACUCUCAUUUCUCGGGGGGAUCUUGCAUUUGGAGCCCCUGGUCCUCGGCCUCCUUCUCCCUUUGAUGAUCCUUCAGAUGAUACAGAGCGCAAGGAGGCUGAAGGCAGCAGCAGCAGCAAGCUAGAGGACCCAGGGCUCUCUGAAUCUAUGGACAUCGACCCUAGUUCCAGUGUACUUUUUGAGGACAUGGAAAAGCCUGAUUUCUCAUUGUUCUCCCCUACUAUGCCUUGUGAGGGGAAGGGAAGCCCAUCCCCUGAGAAACCAGAUGUCGAAAAGGAAGUGAAACCCCCAGCCAAAGAGAAGAUUGAGGGGACACUUGGGAUUCUGUAUGACCAGCCACGACAUGUGCAGUAUGCCACACACUUUCCAAUCCCACAGGAGGAGUCAUGCAGCCAUGAGUGCAACCAGCGGUUGGUCGUACUGUUUGGGGUGGGGAAGCAGCGAGAUGAUGCCCGCCAUGCCAUCAAGAAGAUUACCAAGGAUAUCCUGAAGGUUCUGAACCGCAAGGGGACAGCAGAAACUGACCAGCUUGCUCCUAUUGUGCCUCUGAAUCCUGGAGACCUGACAUUCUUAGGUGGGGAAGAUGGGCAGAAGCGACGCCGCAACCGGCCCGAAGCUUUUCCCACUGCUGAAGAUAUUUUCGCUAAGUUCCAGCACCUUUCCCAUUAUGACCAACACCAGGUCACAGCUCAGGUCUCCCGGAAUGUUCUGGAGCAGAUCACAAGCUUUGCCCUUGGCAUGUCAUACCACUUGCCUCUGGUGCAGCAUGUGCAGUUCAUCUUCGACCUCAUGGAAUAUUCACUGAGCAUCAGUGGCCUCAUCGACUUUGCCAUUCAGUUGCUGAAUGAGCUGAGUGUGGUUGAGGCGGAGCUCCUUCUCAAGUCGUCGGAUCUGGUGGGCAGCUACACUACCAGCCUGUGCUUAUGUAUUGUGGCUGUCCUUCGACACUAUCAUGCCUGCCUCAUCCUCAAUCAGGACCAGAUGGCACAAGUGUUUGAGGGGCUCUGUGGCGUGGUGAAACAUGGAAUGAACCGUUCAGAUGGCUCCUCUGCAGAGCGCUGUAUCCUUGCUUAUCUCUAUGAUCUGUAUACCUCCUGUAGCCAUUUAAAGAGCAAAUUUGGGGAGCUCUUCAGUGACUUUUGCUCAAAAGUGAAGAACACCAUCUACUGUAACGUGGAGCCAUCAGAAUCCAAUAUGCGCUGGGCACCGGAGUUCAUGAUUGACACUCUGGAGAACCCUGCUGCUCACACUUUCACCUACACGGGACUAGGCAAGAGUCUUAGUGAGAACCCUGCUAACCGCUACAGCUUUGUCUGCAAUGCUCUUAUGCACGUCUGCGUGGGCCACCAUGAUCCUGAUAGGGUAAAUGACAUCGCCAUCCUUUGUGCAGAGCUGACGGGCUAUUGCAAGUCUCUGAGUGCAGAGUGGUUAGGAGUACUUAAAGCCUUGUGCUGCUCCUCCAACAAUGGCACUUGUGGUUUCAACGAUCUCCUGUGCAACGUAGAUGUUAGUGACUUGUCUUUUCACGAUUCCUUGGCUACUUUUGUUGCUAUCCUCAUCGCCCGUCAAUGUUUGCUCUUAGAAGACCUGAUUCGCUGUGCAGCCAUCCCUUCACUCCUCAAUGCUGCUUGCAGUGAGCAGGAUUCUGAGCCAGGAGCCAGGCUUACUUGUCGAAUCCUCCUCCACCUGUUCAAGACGCCACAACUCAAUCCUUGCCAGUCUGAUGGAAACAAACCUACUGUUGGAAUCCGGUCCUCCUGUGACCGCCACCUGCUGGCUGCCUCCCAGAACCGCAUCGUGGAUGGAGCUGUGUUUGCUGUUCUCAAGGCUGUGUUUGUACUCGGGGAUGCAGAGCUUAAAGGUUCAGGCUUCACUGUGCCGGGAGGAACAGAAGAACUUCCAGAAGAGGAGGGAGGAGGUGGUAGUAGCGGUCGGAGGCAGGGUGGCCGCAACAUCUCUGUGGAGACAGCAAGUCUGGAUGUCUAUGCCAAGUACGUGCUGCGAAGCAUCUGCCAACAGGAAUGGGUAGGAGAACGUUGCCUUAAGUCACUGUGUGAGGAUAGCAAUGAUCUACAAGACCCAGUGUUGAGUAGUGCCCAGGCCCAGCGCCUCAUGCAGCUCAUCUGCUACCCACAUCGACUGCUGGACAAUGAAGAUGGAGAAAACCCCCAGCGGCAGCGCAUUAAACGUAUUCUCAAGAAUUUAGACCAAUGGACCAUGCGCCAAUCCUCUUUGGAGCUACAACUGAUGAUCAAGCAGACCCCCAACAAUGAGAUGAACUCUCUCUUGGAGAACAUUGCCAAGGCCACAAUCGAGGUUUUCCAACAGUCAGCAGAGACGGGGUCAUCUUCUGGAAGUGCAGCAAGCAACAUGCCCAGCAGCAGCAAGACCAAACCUGUGCUCAGUUCUCUUGAGCGAUCUGGUGUAUGGUUGGUGGCUCCUCUCAUUGCCAAGUUGCCCACUUCAGUCCAGGGCCAUGUAUUAAAAGCUGCUGGGGAGGAAUUGGAAAAGGGUCAGCACCUGGGUUCUUCUUCCCGGAAAGAACGAGAUCGACAAAAACAGAAGAGCAUGUCCCUGUUGAGCCAGCAACCUUUCUUAUCACUGGUGCUAACAUGUCUAAAAGGACAGGAUGAGCAACGUGAGGGACUCCUUGCCUCCCUCCACAGCCAGGUGCACCAGAUUGUGAUUAAUUGGCGAGAAAACCAGUACUUAGAUGAUUGCAAACCAAAGCAGCUAAUGCAUGAGGCACUCAAACUGCGGCUCAACCUGGUGGGAGGCAUGUUUGACACUGUGCAGCGUAGUACCCAGCAGACUACAGAGUGGGCCCAGCUCCUCCUGGAGAUCAUCAUCAGUGGCACUGUGGACAUGCAGUCUAACAAUGAGCUCUUCACUACUGUGUUGGAUAUGCUGAGUGUGCUUAUCAAUGGAACGUUGGCUGCAGACAUGUCUAGUAUCUCGCAAGGCAGCAUGGAGGAAAACAAACGUGCAUAUAUGAACCUGGUGAAGAAGCUUCAGAAGGACUUGGGGGAGCGCCAAUCAGACAGUCUGGAAAAGGUUCACCAACUGUUGCCACUACCCAAACAGAACCGAGAUGUCAUAACCUGUGAGCCACAGGGCUCCCUUAUCGACACCAAGGGCAACAAGAUUGCUGGCUUCGAUUCCAUCUUCAAGAAGGAGGGUCUACAAGUUUCCACCAAACAAAAGAUCUCUCCCUGGGAGCUUUUUGAGGGCCUGAAGCCAUCAACAGCACCACUGUCAUGGGCCUGGUUUGGCACAGUCCGAGUGGACCGCAGAGUGGCACGAGGGGAGGAGCAGCAACGGCUGUUACUCUACCAUACCCACCUGAGGCCUAGACCCAGAGCCUAUUACCUGGAGCCACUACCUCUGCCCCCAGAAGAUGAGGAGCCACCAGCCCCUGCCCUACUAGAGCCUGAGAAAAAGGCUCCUGAGCCCCCCAAAACUGACAAACCAGGGGCUGUUCCUCCCAGCACUGAGGAGCGCAAGAAGAAGUCUACCAAGGGCAAGAAACGCAGCCAGCCAGCCACCAAGAGCGAGGACUAUGGCAUGGGGCCAGGUCGGAGUGGCCCCUAUGGUGUGACAGUGCCUCCAGACCUUCUACACCAUGGAAAUCCUGGUUCUAUAUCCCACCUUAGCUACAGGCAAAGCUCCAUGGGCCUGUACACCCAAAACCAGCCACUACCUGCUGGUGGCCCUCGUGUGGACCCAUACCGCCCUGUGCGGUUACCAAUGCAAAAGCUGCCAACUCGACCAACUUAUCCCGGUGUGCUGCCUACAACUAUGUCUACUGUCAUGGGCCUAGAACCCUCUUCUUAUAAGACAUCUGUGUACCGGCAGCAGCAACCCACAGUGCCCCAGGGACAGCGCCUUCGCCAACAGCUCCAGGCAAAGAUAAGUCAAGGGAUGUUGGGACAGUCAUCUGUCCAUCAGAUGACCCCUAGUUCUUCUUAUGGUUUACAGACUUCCCAGGGCUAUACUUCCUAUGUCUCUCAUGUGGGAUUGCAGCAACACACAGGCCCUGCAGGUACCAUGGUGCCCCCCAGCUACUCCAGCCAGCCUUAUCAGAGCACCCACCCUUCUACCAAUCCUACUCUUGUAGAUCCUACCCGCCACCUGCAACAACGGCCCAGUGGCUAUGUACAUCAGCAGGCCCCAACCUAUGGGCAUGGAUUGACUUCCACUCAAAGGUUUUCACACCAGACACUGCAGCAGACGCCCAUGAUGGGUACCAUGACUCCAUUGAGUGCCCAGGGUGUCCAGGCAGGCGUCCGUUCAACUUCCAUCCUGCCUGAGCAGCAGCAACAACAACAGCAGCAGCAGCAGCAACAGCAGCAGCAGCAACAGCAGCAACAACAGCAGCAGCAACAGCAGCAGCAGCAGCAACAGCAGUACCAUAUCCGACAGCAACAGCAGCAGCAGCAGAUGCUACGGGUAAGGCCAUGGGAUUGUGUCUGACACUUGGGAACUCAAGAAAGAACGGACAUAUUCUUCCCACACUAUCCCCAAGGUGAAAUGUGAGGUAAUGUAGUAAGCACUGAGCACAAUGGCUGACCUAUGUUAGUACUUCUUAUUUUCUUUGGUUUCUUCAGAGAGGGUCUCUCAUACUGUAACCUAGGCCAGUCUUAAACUCAUGGCAAUCCUCUUGCCUCAGCUUUCGGAAUGCUGGAAUUCUAGGCCUACACCAUUAUAAUGGGUUCAACAAUGGUGAUUAAGAGGCUUCCUCCCCACUCCUUUUCAUUUCCUGAGGCUCAUAGUGAGGAGAGAAAUUGGACAGUCUUUGCCAGAUGUACUAUUUGGUUUCUUUCAGAUGUGGACCUAGAGAUCCCCCACUGUUUCUUGGCUCCAAAUCCCUUUCCUCUCCCUGCUCCCAUCUUUUCAACACAAUGUCACAGCUACGUUGCUCUUCUUAAAAUGAUCUCUUAUGUGCUUAUAGCAGCAGCAGCAACAACAGCAGCAGCAGCAGCAGCAGCAGCAGCAGCAGCAGCAACAACAACAGCAGCAGCAACAACAGCAGCAGCAACAGCCACACCAGCAGCAGCAGCAGGCAGCUCCUCCCCAACCCCAGCCCCAGUCCCAGCCCCAGUUCCAGCGCCAGGGGCUUCAACAGACCCAGCAGCAGCAACAGACAGCAGCUUUGGUCCGGCAACUUCAACAACAGCUUUCUAAUACCCAGCCACAGCCCAGUACCAACAUAUUUGGACGCUACUGAGUCACCUGGAGGAACUGCUUGUACACUGGAUGUGGCCCAGCCUUUCUGCUUAAUUCCCAGUUCCCUUCCUGGGCAAGCUCCAGUAGUGGCUGGGGUCCUUCCCUCAGGCUCCAUUUUUAAUGAAUUUUUAGUAUUUUUGUUAAUGUGAAACAUUGAACUGUUGGGUUUUGUAUAUUAUUUAUAUAUAGAUCCCAGAGCUGCUGCACUCAAUACACAGAGCUUCUUUGCAAAA